ACGGCGGUGGCUCGGUCUCCCGGCUGCGCGCGGAGCGGGAGGGCUCUCCUCACACAAGCGCUUCCUUGCCGAGAGGCUGGAGCUGCGGCACCGCAGGCCUGAGCCACCCCUUCUCUGCUGUCUCCUUCUCUUCCUCAGGGCUCCCGUGUCUGCUCGCCCUCCGACGCUGCUCAGAAUAUUAAAGGAGACAGGAAGAAGUCCAGAUGAAGUGACUCAUGGAACCAUUUGUUUAUCUGAACCUGAGCUAAAUCUUAGGAGAGAAGGACUAUGGAAAUGAUGUUAGACAAAAAGCAAAUUCAAGUGAUUUUCUUAUUCAAGCUCAAAAUGGGUCAUAAAGCAGCAGAGACAACUCGCAGCAUCAACAAUGCAUUUGGCCCAGAAAUUGCUAACAAAGGUACAGUGCAGUGGUGGUUCAAGAACUUUUGCAAAGGAGACGAGAGCCAUGAAGAUGAGGAGUGUUGUGGCCGGCCAUCGAAAGUUGGCAACGACCAAUUGAGAGCAGUCAUCGAAGCUGAUCCUCUUACAACACUAGAAGUUGCCGAGAACUCAACAUCAACCAUCCUACGGUCAUUCAGCAUUUGAAGCAAAUUAGAAGGUUGUAAAAGCUCGAUAAGUGGGUGCCUCAUGAGCUGACUGAAAAUAAAAACAAUCGUCAUUUUGAAGUGUUGUCUUCUCUUACUUUGUGUAACAACAAUGAACCAUUUCUUGAUCAGAUUGUGACGUGCGUUGGUAAGUGGAUUUUAUAUGACAACCGCUGAUGACCAGCUUGGUGGUUGGACUGAGAAGAAGCUCCAGAGCACUUCCCAAAGCCAAACUUGUACCAAAAUGUUCAUGGUCACUGUUUGAUGGUCUGCUGCCGGUCUGAUCCACUACAGCUUUCUGAGUUCCAGCAAAACCAUUACAUCUGAGAAGUAUGCUCAACAAAUCUCUGAGAUGCAUGGAAAGCUGCAACGCCUGCAGCCAGCAUUGAUCAACAUAAAGGGCCCAGUCCUUCGGCACAACAAUGCCUGACAAUGCGUCGCACAAUCAACGCUUCAAAAGUUGAAUGAAUUGGUCACAAAGUUUUGCCUCAUCCACCGUAUUCACCUGACUUCUUGCCAACUGACUACCACUUCUUCAAGCAUCUCAGCAACUUUUUGCAGGGAAGAUGUUUCCACAACCGGAAUGCAGAAAAAGCUUUCCAAGAGUUUAUCGAAUCCCAGAUCACACAUUUUUACACUACAGGAAUAAAUAAACUUAUUUCUCAUUGGCAAAAAUGUGUUGAUUGUAAUGUUUCCUAUUUUGAUGAAUAAAGAUGUGUUUGAGCCU
rnacentral:sRNA from 1 species